rnacentral:tRNA from 1 species
GCCCCCGUAGCUCAAUGGAUAGAGCGGCGCACUCCUAACGCGUAGGUUGGGUGUUCAAUUCACCCCGGGGGCG